ensembl:processed_transcript Gas5 growth arrest specific 5
GACAGCCCCGAGCCAUAGGGGCGGAAGGUCGCCGAGUGCUGGGAGGGGAGGUGGGGCAGCGACUGAGCGCCGCAGGAGCUGGCUGCAACCCAGACGCGGACCGGGAGCGUCGGGAAUGGCAGUGUGGACCUCUGUGAUGGGACAUCUUGUGGGAUCUCACAGCCAGUUCUGUGGCAAAGGAGGAUGAAGGCUUACGAGGACUCGUCAGGAAGCUGGAUAACAGAGCGAGCGCAAUGUGCUAGAAUAGAAGACCAGAAAAUGAAAUGGUGGAGUUUGAGGCUGGAUAGACAGUUUGAAAGGGCUCCUGUGACAAGUGGACAUGCAGUGACUGUACCUUUGUUUCUGAGGUGCCUGGAUGGAGGCUCAAAUAGAAGAUGGUGUCAGAUAUAUUGUGUUAAAAUUUUACCAUUAAAGUGUAUUAUAACAUGAA